GAAAACAGGCGAUAAAUCAUUCAAGUUUCUGACCUAUCAGCUUUCGACGGUAUGGUAUUGGCUUACCGUGACAGUGACGGUUAACGGGGGAUUAGGGUUCGAUUCCGGAGAGGGAGCCUGAGAAACGGCUACCACAUCUAAGGAAGGCAGCAGGCGCGCAAAUUACCCAAUUCUAACAGUUUGAGAGAGGUAGUAACAAGAAAUAACAAUACAAGGCUGUUAAAAUGCUUUGUAAUUGGAAUGAUAGAAAUUUAAACCCUUUUUAAAGUAUCAAUUGGAGGGCAAGUCUGGUGCCAGCAGCCGCGGUAAUUCCAGCUCCAAUAGCGUAUAUUAAAAUUGUUGCAGUUAAAAAGCUCGUAGUUGAAGUUCUGCUAAAAGUAACCGGUCUGCUUUGAAUAAAAGUGGUAUCUUGGUAUGUAUUUAGCAAUGAUGUCCUUUGAAGUGUUUUUUACUUUAUUGUAAUAAAGCAUAUUCAGGACUUUUACUUUGAGAAAAUUAGAGUGUUUCUAGCAGGCCAACGCUUUGAAUACUGCAGCAUGGAAUAAUAA
rnacentral:rRNA from 1 species